ensembl:lncRNA
UUUUUCCUGCCAGUUGCCUCAUUACUGGAUUCUUCUUGUGUUUCGUCAUCUCCGUGUUCAUGUUUGUGGAUUCUGUUGCUUUGGAUUUACCGCUAUAUGGAUUUAUUUUCUCUGAAUCACCAUUUUGUUUCUCAUCCGUCUGCAUUGUUCCAAACUCCUGCCUGUUCGUGCCACCUGCAUCAUCUGCUUCCACUACCUCCAAUGCUCCAAAAAACCUCUCCCUCCUGGAUUCUCCUGGCUUCCUUCUGGUCCAUUACAUCUCCGUUCCCCACUCCCAUUCCCUGGAUAAAUACCUGCUGCCUUCCUCUCCUACCCCGGAGAUCAGUCAUGCCUCCACAGACACCAUUCUCACCACACACCUGUCUAUAACGGACACCGGCUUCUCCAGUCUAACCAUCACGGACCCAGCCACACCAUUGCUGCCUUUUCCCAGCUGCUGGGUCAACUCAUUCCUCUGAUUGCUUGAAGCCCGUGUUCUACCUGGACUCAUUCUCCGUGACCCAGUCAGCUAAGUUCCUAACCCGAGCAGUACCAGACUAAAUAAUUUAAGACCAGUUAUUGUUAGUCUACGUUAACUAUUUCCAGUUGGCUGUGUAGUUUAAUACUGUUGUAUUAUCUCUAGGUUAUACUAUCCGCCUUCAGGUUCGUAACCACCUAUCUCUUGCUUCGUGUAGAAUUAUCUUGUCUGGGGUUUUUCUGUCUUCAGGAUUACAGUUAUUCAGGGUUUAUAGUUGUUUUGUCUUGUGUAGUUUGUCCUCCUGCCCAAUAGAGGGUUUCUCGAUCUAGUCCGAGUUUCGUGUUUAACUUCCGGUUUCUAGUUGUAGUUAUUGUCUUUAUCUCUGCAUUUGUAAAUAAACGAAUUCUAAAAUCUUUCUUGUCUGCAACCUCCUUUCCUGCAUCGGAGCCUCUGCAUCCACUGUAACACAACUUUAAUUAGACAGCUGGAUAGACAGAUGAUCUGUAUAAUAAUUAAAACUGUAUUUUUUCACAAAUUAUCAAUGCUUAUAUAUAUUAUUCACUGUUGGAAACAAUUUUUUGGGACACUUUUGUUGUGAAAAGAUGUGCAAUUAUACAAGAUAUCUCUCAUUUAACCAACAAAUUUGUGUAAAAUUUCAGAACUUAUGCAAUUUUUGAUCAAUUUGCACUGACUGUAUUUAAUUGAAUUCAAUCUAAUAAAUUUGUAGCGUGGAAUUUGAAUUUAACAGUUUCAAUUAAUAAAUUAAAAUGGAA